UAGUAACUGCGAGUGAAGCGGGAAAAGCUCAAAUUUAAAAUCCGUCCCCCGACGGAGUUGUAAUCUAGAGAAGUGUUUUCGGCCGUUGACUUGGACAAGUCCCCUGGAACAGGGCGUCAUAGAGGGUGAUAAUCCCGUACUUACCAAGAUCCCAACGUCUAUGUGAUACACUCUCGAAGAGUCGAGUUGUUUGGGAAUGCAGCUCAAAAUGGGUGGUAAAUUCCAUCUAAAGCUAAAUAUUGGCGAGAGACCGAUAGCGAACAAGUACCGUGAGGGAAAGAUGAAAAGCACUUUGGAAAGAGAGUUAAACAGUACGUGAAAUUGCUAAAAGGGAAGCGCUUGAAGUCAGUCGCGUUUAAUGAGACUCAGCCUCACGGUGUAUUUCUCUUGAACGGGCCAACAUCGAUUUUGGGCGCGGGAAAAGGGUUUGGGGAAGGUGGCAACCUCGGUUGUGUUAUAGCCCCUUACCGUACACCGCGCCUGGGAUCGAGGACCGCGGCUUUGCCUAGGAUGUUGGCGUAAUGGC
rnacentral:rRNA from 1 species